rnacentral:lncRNA from 1 species
CCUCCUCGCCGGGGCUCCCGCUGUGAUUGACACAGAAAGAGAGGAGGCGCCUGGUGCUAACAAAAGUCUGAGCCACUGGAGAGCAGCGUAGGGCCGCGGGUCUCCUCUCUGGGAACCAGCAACAAGUGGCUUGCAGCGGCACUUUCCCCUAGGAAGAAGUGGAUCGCGAGCUCUUGGACCCAAGCAGCCAGGCAGCUUCUCCUCUCUUCGCCCUCUGGAGCCCUAGGGCGCGGAUGGGGACCCGGAGGGGAUGCCCGUUCUUGCCUAGUCCUGGGAUGCUGGAAGCUGCAUCUACGGAUUGCCCUAGUACUGCUGCCUGACCCGGCGUGUGGAUUAUUAAGUGGAGCUGCGGCCCCUCGGGUUACCCUUCUUGCAAAAAAAAAAAAUUGAAAGACGGGGGUGGGGGGAGAGAAGCCCAUUUGGAGAACCAGGACGAGGGGAGCGCAUUGCGUUCCCGGAGAUGGUCCUUGUUUAGGGGUUCUGAAGUAUGUCAAAGUAAUCGUCCGGGAUAGGAGGAUUCACUUGCCCGCUUUCCUCAAACCCCGGUUGCCUAAGAGCCCCGUCUUGGCUUGUUAGACAUGGUGUGUAUGGGAAGAAGGAGAGUAUGAAGCCUGCAGGAUGGGAGCAAACAAUGGCAAACAGUACGGCAGUGAGGGCAAAGGCAGCUCAAGCAUCUCAUCCGACGUGAGUUCAAGUACAGAUCAUACGCCGACCAAAGCUCAAAAGAAUGCAGCUACCAGCGAAGGUAGGCAUCUGGUCUUCAUUAUCUUUGGCCCUCUUUUCACAGCAUUGGCUAAUUUUUGGAAAGAAGAUAAAAUGUGUGGGGUUUGGACCUGUUCUACUGAGUGGGAGCUCAUGCGAUUCUUUAAAAAGGAAAAAGCUAAAGUUCUUCCAAGUGCCUUUUUUUCUUUCUUUUUCUUUAUUUUUUGGAUUGCUGUUGCUGUGUGUAAAAGUUGAUUUGAUGGGAUUUAAAUCUCUCAUUUCCAAGGCUAAUGUCGGAGUUUCAUGAAAAUAUAAUGGGCUGGUUUAUAAGAUCACAUUGCAUUGUGUAUCACAUUUUUCUAGGAAGGAAACUAAAAUUGUGAAAUCCCCGGUUUGUGCUUGAUCCAUCAUGCCAGGAAUUGUGCACCUGGAUUGUGGACUUAUGACAGUAUGCCAAGGUCAGAGCUCUGCAGUGCACUUGAUCAAAGGUGGUAGAGAAGGA